rnacentral:rRNA from 1 species
AUUGAACGCUGGCGGAAUGCUUUACACAUGCAAGUCGAACGGUAGAGGGGGCAACCCCUCGAGAGUGGCGAACGGGUGAGUAAUAUAUCGGAACGUGCCCAGUCGUGGGGGAUAACGUAGCGAAAGUUACGCUAAUACCGCAUACGAUCUAAGGAUGAAAGCGGGGGAUCGCAAGACCUCGCGCGAUUGGAGCGGCCGAUAUCAGAUUAGGUAGUUGGUGGGGUAAAGGCUCACCAAGCCAACGAUCUGUAGCUGGUCUGAGAGGACGACCGGCCACACUGGAACUUAGACACGGUCCAGACUCCUACGGGAGGCAGCAGUGGGGAAUUUUGGACAAUGGACGCAAGUCUGAUCCAGCCAUUCCGCGUGCAGGAUGAAGGCCCUCGGGUUGUAAACUGCUUUUGUACGGAACGAAAAGGUCUCUCUUAAUACGGGGGGCUCAUGACGGUACCGUAAGAAUAAGCACCGGCUAACUACGUGCCAGCAGCCGCGGUAA